rnacentral:rRNA from 1 species
ACUCCUACGGGAGGCAGCAGUAGGGAAUCUUCCGCAAUGGACGAAAGUCUGACGGAGCAACGCCGCGUGAACGAAGAAGGCCUUCGGGUCGUAAAGUUCUGUUGUUAGGGAAGAACAAGUACCAGAGUAACUGCUGGUACCUUGACGGUACCUAACCAGAAAGCCACGGCUAACUACGUGCCAGCAGCCGCGGUAAU